rnacentral:rRNA from 1 species
GAGUUUGAUCAUGGCUCAGAACGGACGCUGGCGGCGUGCCUAACACAUGCAAGUCGAGCGCGAAAGCAGCAAUGCAAGUAGAGCGGCGCACGGGUGCGUAACACGUGGGUAAUCUGCCUCGGAGUCGAGGAUAACCAUUCGAAAGAAUGGCUAAUACUCGAUAAGCUCACGAGACCUUCGGUUCUUGUGAGAAAAGGUGGCUCCUAUGGGCUACCUCUUCGAGAUGAGCCCGCGGCCCAUCAGUUAGUUGGUAGGGUAAUGGCCUACCAAGGCUACGACGGGUAGCUGGUCUGAGAGGACGAUCAGCCACACUGGAACUGAGACACGGUCCAGACUCCUACGGGAGGCAGCAGUGGGGAAUUUUCCACAAUGGGCGAAAGCCUGAUGGAGCAACGCCGCGUGUGUGAUGAAGGUUUUCGGAUCGUAAAGCACUUUCGAUUGGGAAAAAUAUCCCUGACCUAAUACGUCAGGGCUUGAUGGUACCAAGAGAAGAAGCACCGGCUAACUCUGUGCCAGCAACCGCGGUAAUACAGAGGGUGCAAGCGUUGUUCGGAAUUAUUGGGCGUAAAGCGCGCGUAGGCGGCUUUGCAAGUCAGAUGUGAAAUCCCUCGGCUUAACCGAGGAAGUGCGUUUGAAACUGCAGAGCUUGAGUGCUAAAGAGGAUGGCGGAAUUCCCGAAGUAGAGGUGAAAUUCGUAGAUAUCGGGAGGAACACCGGUGGCGAAGGCGGCCAUCUGGUUAGUCACUGACGCUGAGGCGCGAAAGCGUGGGUAUCAAACAGGAUUAGAUACCCUGGUAGUCCACGCUGUAAACGAUGAGAACUAGGUGUCGUGGGUGUUGACCCCCGCGGUGCCGCAGCUAACGCAUUAAGUUCUCCGCCUGGGAAGUACGGUCGCAAGAUUAAAACUCAAAGGAAUUGACGGGGGCCCGCACAAGCGGUGGUGCAUGUGGUUUAAUUCGACGCAACGCGCAGAACCUUACCUAGACUUGACUUCUACAGAAGGCGGCCCAAAAGCUGCUGUGCUCGCAAGAGAACUGUAAGACAGGUGCUGCAUGACUGUCGUCAGCUCGUGUCGUGAGAUGUUGGGUUAAGUCCCGCAACGAGCGCAACCCUCGCCCUUAGUUGCUCAGCAAUGAGAUCUCUAGGGGGACCGCCAGCGAUAAGCUGGAGGAAGGUGGGGAUGACGUCAAGUCCUCAUGGCCUUUAUGUCUAGGGCUACACACGUGCAACAAUGGCUGGUACAAAGCGUCGCCAACUCGCAAGAGGGAGCUAAUCGCAUAAAACCAGUCUCAGUUCAGAUUGGAGUCUGCAACUCGACUCCAUGAAGGCGGAAUCGCUAGUAAUCGCAGAUCAGCACGCUGCGGUGAAUACGUUCCCGGGCCUUGUACACACCGCCCGUCACACCAUGGGAGUCAAUUGCUCUAGAAGUCAGUGUUCCAACCGCAAGGAGGAAGCUGCCCAAAGAGUGAUUGGUAACUGGGGUGAAGUCGUAACAAGGUA